AAGUGCGACCAAAGCCGACAGCGACUGGUGUCGAGGAAGAAGGGGGUCGUUUCAGGCUGUGACAUGGAAGCAGUUUUCUCGAGGAGGAGAGACGAGUUUUACAGACCGUUUGGUGACCGCGCCUCAGCUCUGCCCAGCGUUCACUCUACAAUUGCAGUGAGCACCUGUUAUGUGCAGCGAUCACAGAGAUGAGACCGACCAGAGCCUUACUGUCGAGGAACUGGACAAACAAGAACCCACAGAGGCCCCAGGCUGCUAAAAUACAUCCCAGAGGUCGACAAUCCAGGAGGUGCUUAGCAAAGGACAAGCCAGAGACACGCGGAGCUCAUCAGGCUCUGAGCGCCUGGCUUCCCAGAAAGGUGUCCAGGCUGCCACAGUCCCCCUGCCUAGAGGGCUUCGGGGGCACCGAGGACACGUGCCGACUGUACCAGGUGAGCCCCGGGGAGGCAGGAGGAGAGCCGCAGGAGGCACAGUGGUCCGCACCCCGUUUCUUCCCCGCUGCGCACAGACCGGCCUGCUGGUCCUGACUCGGAUGGGUAAGCAGGGGCCGCCCCGUGGACACCGGUGAGGGGCAGGGGAGCCCCUAGUGCAGGAGCACAGGGUCUGCCGGUUAUGCUUGGCCCAGGUCAGGAGGGAGAGGCACCCUUCUCGUGCGAGCUGGCACAUGGGCACAGAUGGCCCCUCACCGCUGCAGGUGGGCCGUGAGCCCAGAAACCCCGGUGGAGCCCAGCUCUGCGCGUUUCCCCGCAGACUUUCCUGUGGACCCGGUCUGUAGCCAGGCCUCCCCACCAGGCCCCUCUGCAGGCCGAGGAGGGUCCGGGGUGGAGGGGCAGGAGGCACCCCCUGCUUUGGAGAAGCUGAGAACAAGUCUCAGCGGGCAGCCUGCACCCUGUAAGCAGGAGGAGGGCAGACGAUUGUACCAUGUGCGGGGGAGCGGGGCCUUGCCCUUAAGGAAAAUGUGAUUUUAGAGGAGCAGACACUUCCUGAGCAUUCGUGUCUGAGGAACGAAGGCCAUGGGAGAAGAACAGGAGAGCUGGGGGUUUGAGAAAAGGUGUGGUGGCCUCUGACAGCAGGCUCCUGAAGGAAGGCUUCCUGGAGGAGGUGGCCUGGGAGCCCUGCAGGACGGGUGGAGGAGGACUUUCCUGUGGGAAUCUAGUCCCCAUGGCUGGAGAACCAGGAGGGUCCGAGGAGGGGGGCUGGAAUAGAGCACAAGGGCCCGUCCCAUUGAGGGCUAGGCUUGGGGGCGCCCUCCUGGAGCCUCCUCACCUCCCUCCUGCCUCCUGUCGGCCUCCCUGCAUCACCUCUCCUCCUCCAACAGCUUCCCGGACCAGCUCCCUGGCAGUUGGAAGGCUGGGCAGACUCCCACGCGGUCCAGUCCCCACGCGCCCCCUGCCUUCCCUGGGCCCUAGAGCA
rnacentral:lncRNA from 1 species